AAACGUACCAGGCUUUUAAUGUUAACCAGACACCUGUUUUGUGUAAUCAACACUUAUCAGUGACUCAAAUCGAAAUAUUAGUUAGGCAAAAAAAAAAUCUAGAGCAUAAGACAAAAUGAUAUUUGAUAUAAGUGCCAAUAAGACAAUGUAAUAGUUAUGUAAUUUAUGACACAGGUAUUGACUCACUCAAGAGAAAAAAACAGACAAAUAGAGGAUGUAAAGCAAAGAAGACUGAACAUGGAAGAAUCAUGUCAUAUUCUGGAAGAUAAAUGGAAACAUCCUUGGCUGAAAAAAAAUAGUUUAAAGCAACAGGUAACAAUUUAACUAGAUAAAAGUGAUCUUGUUCAUGUAUUUUUUUGCAUGUUAACUUUUUAUACAUUGUGAUUUGGAUGGAGAAGUGUCUCAUUGGCACGCAUACCACAUCUUAUUUAUAUUUGAAUACUUUCAUCAAACUUUUAUUGAAAAAGUCACCUUUAAAAAAAAAAUAGUGAUAAAAACAUUAAAAAAAAAACAAUUGAGACAUGAUGACAAAGCUAUACAUUUUGUAUGAAGCCAUUCUUGGAUUGCGUGCACGAUCAACGGUUUGACAAGCCUAUUAUAUUGCUCAAAGACCAUUCAAUUCUUAUAAUUACAUAUUUUUGCUAGGAUGAAGGAAAAAACAAUCUCUAUCAUUUUUUUGUAUAUAUUUACCUGUACAUAUAAAGCAUGUGCUAUCAUGGGUGUUACAUAUCAUUGUGCUAUGAAGAAUGACGUGAGAUUGUUGUUAGCCAAUCAAAAUAACAGAUUUAUAUGUUGAAAUAUACUAGUACUGUAAUGUAAUUAUUUGGAUUAAAAGGGGUGUUUUUUUUACCUGCGUCACCAACGGUGAAAGCAGGUCUAGUAACCGCUCGACUCCGUCCGUCAUUCCGUCCGUCCGAAAGACUUGCAUAUCAACUUUAGUCAAAGAUUUCUUGGCUUCUAUGAAAGGGAAUGAUUUUAUAUUUGGUCCAGAGCUUGAUCAUGUUGAGUUGUAAAGUGUAAGCAAUUUUUAGAUCUGCGAUGCAGCCACUUCCUGUUUGCUGAUAGUUUGAAAUUUAGCUACUCAGUGUACAAGGAAAAUUUUUCGUCAAAGUUUUCUUGGCUUCUAUGAAAGGGAAUGAUUUUAUAUUUGGUCCAGAGCUUGAUCAUGUUGAGUUGUAGUGUGUGUAAGCAAUUUUAAGAUUUGCGGUGCAGCCACUUCCUGUUUGCCGAUAGUUUGAAAUUUAGCUACUCAAUGUACAAGGAAAAUUUUUCGUCAAAGUUUUCUUGGCUUCUAUGAAAGGGAAUGAUUUUAUAUUUGGAACAGAGCUUGAUCAUGUUGAGUUGUAAAGUGUAAGCAAUUUUUAGAUUGCGGUGCAGCCACUUCCUGUUUGCCGAUAGUUUGAAAUUUAGCUACUCAAUGUACAAGGAAAAUUUUUCGUCAAAGUUUUCUUGGCUUCUAUGAAAGGGAAUGAUUUUAUAUUUGGAACAGAGCUUGACUAUGUUGAGUUGUAGGGUGUAAGAAAUUUAAAGAUCUGUGGUGCAGCCACUUCCUGUUUGCCGAAAGUUUGAAAUUUAGCCACUUAUUGUACAAGGAAAAUUUUUAGACAAAAUUUUUUGGUUUCUAUUGAAGGAAUUGUUUUAGAUUUUCUGUAGAGCAAAUAUAUGCAGUGACGCAGGUCCAGACCAGUAUUGGUCUUGAAUGCUGGAUACUAUCCAUGCAUGUCUGUGUCCACACAGUAAAUUAAUUAUAAAUUUCCGGAUCUGCAUUAUUCAUCAUACGUAGCUGUUAUAGUUUUAAAUGAUAAAAGCAAACAGUUUUACAAUUUUUUUUCUAAUUAUUCAUUUGACAAUAUAUAGUUUUCUUAUUAUUUCAGUGAGACGUUUCAAUAUUUCAUCACAUGAACACUGGGA
rnacentral:lncRNA from 1 species